UAUUGUAACGUGUUUGGAUCUUUUUUAAAGUUAUGACUAAUCUGAUGGGUGCACAUAUAUAAUUAUUUGUGUUGUAAUGAUUUAAUAUAACAAUCAAAUCAUCACUUUACUUUUUCUUUUUUCUACCGUAAUCUAUAAUUUUUUCAGUAAUUUCUACUUGACAGUUUACGUGGCUAACAAUUUAGCUCGACUCAUGUGAGCAGAGAACCAUGACGAACAAUUUUGCUGGGGUCAUGUGAAGAGAGAAAUAAUUUCAUGAUAUAAAUUUCCAACUUCUUCUCCUAGAUCAAUUCAUGCUCUUUAAGCUCCUUGGCAUCAAUAUGUAAUUUUUUUAUUAGCCAAGGAUACUUUAAGUCAUUACAAUUCGUUUUUAUGCUUUCAUUACCCCACCAACGACUUCAUUACAUUCUCUCAUCGACAAGAGCUUCUUCAUCUUGCAGAGUUCCCCGGUUCUCCAAGUUUUUCAUUUCCCAGAGGUACUGGCUUUUCAUAUUCAAACCGUUUCCGAGUAUUUCUGCGACUCUGAGGAAAGAGUUUUACUGGGGCUAAAAGGACCUUAUGAAGAUGCUUGUACUAACUUCGAGUAUAAUUUAUAUUUGAUGGAGUGGUUUCUAUCCCAAUCUUCACAUAUGUUAUUUGAGGUAAGUGAAGUUAAGUUUCAAGGAACAUAUUUAGUGUAGUAUGUUGUUUAGACAGUUGCAAUCUACUAUGCUUAAAGUUAUCUUUAGUUUUGAUCUCCUCAAAUUUAUUGAAAUUCUUAUAUAGGAAUUUUAAUAUUGUUCCCAUUGGUGGAUAAGGACCGAUUUUUGAAAAUUUUAUUCACUAUAUGCCACUCUCGCAGUGAUUCUUAUAAGCUCUAAAUCUCAUUCACAUGUUCCAUUUAAUCUGGCUUUAUAAAUUUAUGCUUAAAAGUUACCCGAGGAAGUUUUUUACUACAAGUCUUAAAAUUAUUCAAGGAGAACAUAUUAGUGACUAAUAGGAUUAAUUUUCGGAUAAUUUAAAAGGAACGAAAAGAAAUAUAAUUUCCUGCACAAGACAAUACUUUGAAGUGAAUGACCAACUCAUUGAUAAGAACAAAUGCGCAAUAGUAUUUAAAUCUUCUAUUUCUGACUGCACAAGUUCAUGGUGAACAUAGUAUCUCAUGAAACCUUUGAUGGGGUUAAUAUUGUUCUACAUUGGUUGGUAAAAUUUUGAAUAUGUACACACAUAGUGUAUUGACGACAUGGUGUAUUUGAUACGGAUUAUGUGUCUGAUCAGAUCCAUCACAAAUCCAAAAGUGAAUCAAACUUCAAUAUAAGAUAGUAUUUACAGGUCCCCGAGUGAGAUUCAGCAUGAAAAAAUCAAAAAAUUUAAGCUCUAUUUUCGAAUCUCACACAAAGAAGAAGCUCAGGGACAGAAAUAAGCUUCUAAAGAAUGCACAUUGUUAUUGUCUUUCCACCAAAUUAUUCUACUAAGGCUGUUGUUUUGUCUUUCUGGUUAGUUGUUCCUUCAAAUUAUUGGAGUGUAAGUUAUUUUGGUGGUAAAUAUUGUAGAUUAUAAAAAUUGAUAUUUUUGAGCCUGAGUUGUUUCGUUAGUUGAUGGAUAUGUAGAUUAGAAUGGUUCAGUCUUUUGAGCUGCAUGUUGAAUUUUUAGUCGAAUGUCUUGAUGGAUCAAUAGCUAAUCGUUGAAAUUCAUCCGACUCAUAAUUCUAAUUGGGGAUAAAGUAUAGUAUCAUAGUUUUGCCAAAAAUUAAUGAUUUGUUUGGAGGCGAAAAGAGUGAUUCUUUUCGUUGGACUGCAACUAACCAGUUUCAUAUAUUUUUAUCUGUUAUCUGUUAAGUUCACAAAUACUUUGAGGAAGUUGGUUGGUACGAAAGAGAUGUACUAAGCUCAGAUAAGUUUAUUAUCAGCAAACUCUUUAACUAAAAAUAGCUUACCAGAAGGUUAUUUGGACAAGGCUGAUUUACAACAAAAUAUGCCUCAUAAAUGGUCAACUUAUCUUAUAUCUCACUGUUUGUUGCAUAUUGUUUACAAAAGGAAGGUUAGCCUAAUGAAGACGCUUGGAGGAUGAGAAGUGUGCACUAUACAACAUGAGUACUGAGUAUGUUGAACAUCUCUCUUUAUGUGCCCUUAUUUAGUGCAAGUUCGAAACCAUACUAAUAUAGCUGCAGAUUCAUAGACAAGUUCAAGGAUGGAACUGGGAUGAAUUAGAAAAUUACAAACUUCAAAGACAAGAGUUUACAUAAGCUGAAGUUUUUAGAAUGACAUUAAAUGCGGGAGUUUUAUGGCGAAAAAGGAAUUAGAGGAUCUUCCAAACAGAGAACAGAAGGCAUAAGUCCUCAUUAUGUUGUUAAUUUAAGAUCCUUAUACUAGAAGAGUUGAUGAAAGCAACAUCGUUUAGAAAGUUAUUGGCUAUCUGGUCAUGUUGUGAAUUUUUUUUAAAAAACAACUUUAGGUUUCAAAGUGAAAAAAGAUAUAUGAAAAUUGGAAUUGUAUUUGGUCAUGAAUAUAAAUUGGAGUUCUUUUUGACUUUUUGUGGUUAA